rnacentral:rRNA from 1 species
CUCCGGUGAUCCCUGCCGGACCUGACUGCUAUCGGAUUGGUACUAAGCCAUGCGAGUCAUUGUAGCAAUACAAGGCGGACGGCUCAGUAACACGUAGUCAACCUAACUCGUGGACGUGGAUAACCUCGGGAAACUGAGAAUAAACCACGAUAGAUCAUAGUGCCUGGAAUGGCUUAUGGUCCAAACAGUUUACCGCCAUGGGAUGGGACUGCGGCCUAUCAGCUUGUUGGUGAGGUAAUGGCCCACCAAGGCGAUUACAGGUACGGGCUCUGAGAGGAGAAGCCCGGAGAUGGGUACUGAGACACGGACCCAGGCCCUAUGGGGCGCAGCAGGCGAGAAACCUUAGCAAUGUGCGAAAGCACGACUGGGUCAGUCCGAGUGAUUCCUGAUAAAGGAGUCUUUUGCUUGUCCUAAAAGCACAGGUGAAUAAGGGGUGGGCAAGUCUGGUGUCAGCCGCCGCGGUAAUACCAGCACCUCGAGUGGUCAGGACGUUUAUUGGGCCUAAAGCAUCCGUAACCGGCUCUGCAAGUCUUCGGUUAAAUCCACCUGCUCAACAGAUGGGCUGCUGGAGAUACUACAGAGCUAGGGAGUGGGAGAGGCAGACGGUAUUCAGUGGGUAGGGGUAAAAUCCUCUGAUCCAUUGAGGACCACCAGUGGCGAAGGCGGUCUGCCAGAACGCGCUCGACGGUGAGGGAUGAAAGCUGGGGGAGCAAACCGGAUUAGAUACCCGGGUAGUCCCAGCUGUAAACGAUGCAGACUCGGUGAUGAGUUGGCUUAUUGCUAACUCAGUGCCGCAGGGAAGCCGUUAAGUUUGCCGCCUGGGGAGUACGGUCGCAAGACUGAAACUUAAAGGAAUUGGCGGGGGAGCA